CGCGUAGGAAUCUAUCCAUUGGUGGGGGACAACAGUGGGAAACUACUGCUAAUACCGCAUGAUACCUGAGGGUCAAAGGCGCAAGUCGCCUGUGGAGGAGCCUGCGUCUGAUUAGCUUGUUGGUGGGGUAAAGGCUUACCAAGGCGACGAUCAGUAGCUGGUCUGAGAGGAUGAUCAGCCACAUUGGGACUGAGACACGGCCCAAACUCCUACGGGAGGCAGCAGUGGGGAAUAUUGGACAAUGGGCGAAAGCCUGAUCCAGCAAUGCCGCGUGGGUGAAGAAGGUCUUCGGAUUGUAAA
rnacentral:rRNA from 1 species